rnacentral:lncRNA from 1 species
UCCGUCUAGUCGGAUAUGAAUAAUCCGACAUUUUUAUGGUAGGUAGUAUGUUCAUUAAACAACAGAUCCAGGUGUGAAUGGUCCUUUCAUCUUUAUCCGUGUUGCUAGAAUUACGGUUCACUGAUUUCAGAAUCAGAUUACCUGUAAUUUUAACCUCUCAGUCACUUUAUUGAUUAUAUUAGUUCUACAUCGUAUUUGACAUAAAAUAUUUUUACAGGUGAAGUACUGGAGAAAACUUUGUUUAAUAAAAAUAGCCUAUUUUUGUUAAUUAUGGUUUUGAUAUUUCAACUGUUAAUAUUUAUUUUCUUUGUUCCUAAAAAUUAUUUUUAUUUUAUGUUCCUUUUCGUUUUUUUUUUUUUUUUGUAUCUUUUUCUUAUUUGUUUGCAUAAAUUUUUUAAACAUAUAUAUUUUUACAUGUAUUCUAUUUCUUGAAGCUUACGGUUAUUUUUAUUUUACUGAUUUAUUUUCCACGUAAAUCCAUUGAUUAGCAGAAUGCUGUCUCAAGUGCUGCUGCAUACGUUUUAGUUUGACGCGGUCACAUGCAAAAUAUUUCUAUAAUUUGUAUUUAAUAUUCAGUCUGUUGUGUCAGUUCCGAGAUAAAAAUAAUUACAGUGAGCAACACUUGUAUAUUAUUAGUAGCUUGAUGAUUCUUUGUAGUUUUUACUUUUUACUGUAAACAAAUAUUGUCCGAAAGUUGGAGAUGUAUAACUAAAAUAGAACGCAAAUAAUAACACUAGAAGAAAAUAUUGAUUCUUCCCGGGCAUAAGUUUAUUUUAAGAUUUCCGUGUUUGUUCAUUAUGCUAAAUUAAUAUAAUUGAUCUGCAUUUGGGGGUAGGGGGUAAAAGGGGUCCGGAUCUCGAAAUCCCGGGCUUAAAAACACGAAGUCCCAAGGUCCCGAAUUUAAAUAAAUUUAAAUCCCGACAUCGCGAAAAAAGAAUUCCCAGAUCCCGAAAGGGUUAAUCCCGAAAUCCCGAACUUAAUUGCAUAAUAUUAAUUUACGCACAAUCCAUGUAAAAAAGGAAACUUGUAUGUUAUAUUUUUUAUAGCAAUCUAAAAGAAAAAAUUGCCGUGAAAAGACAAUUCCAUGAUACACAUAUCAGUGAUCAACAGCGUGUGCACGUGGUUGAACUUUAACUUGACUCCACUCACAAUAAUAUUGAAUGCUAAUAAAAGAUAUUAAAGAUCGAUUUUGUCCACUGCACGAGAUUUUUAUAUGGCGGGAAAUGUCGUAACAGUAAACACAGGUGACCUUACUGACCGACCGUGGGAAAAUUCAUUCAUGAUUAAAUUUGAUGUGGAAUGAUUGACAGUAUUGUGUUUUAGUUUUGAGGCUCUUGAUCGAUUUACCAGAAUAGAAAUUUAAUCGAUUUACAUACAUGUAUAAUCAAAACACGAUUUAGUCUUCUUUAACUAUUUUUUGUUUUAUUUUUAUCAGUCAUUUCCCGGAUUCCCAUUUAAAUAAUCUAUUUGGAGACCUCCUUUAAACUUCGGAAAUAAUACAACAUCGAUUUAAAAAAUCAUACUGACUGCGCGAGAGCUUUAGAAUGACUAGAAGUACGACGAAAAAGUAAAGACAGCUGAUCAUGACUAGUACGACUAGCCUUCAAACCCAUUGGGGUAUAAAUGUGCAUUUAGUCAAUAAACUAUAUAAGGUUAAACUUUGAUUUUCGUGUAUCGAUUUGAUACAAUUUGUAAAAAAUAUAUUUAUAACACCGGCGAUUUUCAUAAAAAAUUUCAGACAUGAAAAUAGAAAGGCAU